rnacentral:ncRNA from 1 species
CAAAACAGGAAAACAGAUUGAUAGCUCUUUCUCGAAUCUAUGGGUGGUGGUGCAUGGCCGUUCUUAGUUCGUGGAGUGAUUUGUCUGGUUAAUUCCGAUAACGAACGAGACUCAAAUAUUUUAAAAAAGAUGCUUUCAGGAUUAUGGUGUUGAAACUUUUAUCAUAGUGGUAUAAUGGGGAAAAAAGAAACGCCCU